UUCUCAUUUCUUCUCGUUGAUGGAUUGAGUUUGCUAACAUUCUGCUCUCCCUAGAGAAUUGACUAGUGCAAUUAUUAUGAAAUAAAUUUAAAUACUCAGACAACCAUUAGUUUAGUUGCUUGUAGUGACAGUGUAUUGUUGACUCUGUUGUCUUAGAAGUAUGCGUGAUAUAGUCAUCCAAGAAAUGCUGGGUUGCAGUUGUCCCAGCGAAACUAACUUUGAUUACGUAGUUGCUGAAUUUUAACUGUUUUUUGAAUUAAUACUUUUCAUAGUCCUUGACAAACACAGCUGUAACAUAACAAAAUUGACAUUUAACAUAAACAUUCUAGAACGUAUGAGUUGAAAUAGGUGGUGUUUCUCUCAUUUCCCCUUGAUGCAGUCCCACUGCUCAAAGUUCAUGGAGCUGUUACAGGGGUACUGGUUUUAGGAUCUUGGGAGCUGCUUUGGAUGUUCACACAUCAUCAUUCUGGCUGAAAUAUCUCCAGUUUAAGAUCGGAACAUGUAGCCAGGUCUCAGCUCUUCUCAGUUCUACAAAUCUAGCCUGAUAUUUUAGCCCGGAGGAGCAGGUAACAAUGAGUUGAAACAUAGGGAGAGAGAAUUUAGCUAAAGAUGAUCCAAAGAGAAUUCUCAAUUUUUAAGUCAUAGGUUUUUAUUGGAAAUUCCAGUGUGCAGUCUCUUGUUUUUAUAUACUGUGAAGUCUUCGGUUGUUUAUGAUGAUUUGGGAAGGCGUCCAACGUAUGCCAGGCAGCUGAGGCAGAAAAUAGCAUCAGGCUCCCGCUUUGGUUCAGGACUGGGUUUCUUUUCUAAACUCUGUUUCCCAUAGGUGGUCUGUGACCUGCAUUUCAUUUUUCCCGUGUGUCCUCAUGUGCUUGUUUUCAGCAGCGACCCAGCAUGGUUGUGGGUGUCGGUCCUGUGUGAGGAUGGCCUUAUGCCUGCCAUUCUUGAAAUAACUCCCGGCUCUUCUGUCUAGUGUCCUUAUCCGUCACACACUUUCAAGUGCUGCUUGAAGCCACCUAAUGCCUGAAAGUAGACUUAAUGCAGAAAAGCCCCCAAUAACACAGCAUUCCUAAGAGCUAAACUAGAGUGGUGGUCACAAAAAUCUACUUAAAGAGGGACAGAAAGAGGAUGGGCAAGGUGGCUGGAGACAAGAAAAUUAUGCUGUCCCAUGAGCAGUUUAUUUCCAGAGCUGCUGAACUGUUAGGCCACAAAGACUUGUAGGACGGGGAGUGAACUAACAUUUAUCCUAGCGGUGUGAGUGUUAACCCUUUAUUUACAAUCGCCUAUUUUAAACACACAUAAACAUUGCAUGCAUGGCAUUUAAUCUUAUUUUUGUUAGUAUGGUUGGUGCCAGAUAAGUGGUAGCCUCGUGUACAGAUGAAGAACAUGAGGCUUAGAGAGACUGAAGCACUAUUGUGUCGACGCUGUUCACAUAGCGUUUCUUGGCAAAGCUGGUAUCUGACUCUGCAUUUGUGUAGACUGAAGUUUGGACACAAACUUCUCUUGCACCAGGAAGAGAAGGAAUGACCAUUUCUUUUUUCCUGUAUAUCUAAAGAAAAUUUCCUGCAGAAUCCCGAAAAGGGGAAAGGAUGAAGGUGUUCAGAAAAAAUGAGGAGGGUUGUGAAAGGAAGUUUCACCUGAAUGACUUAGAGCUGGAGAUGAGGUUAGCAGGGAUAAGGAGUGUGUGUGGGAUGUACGUGGUGUGUGUCUAUGUGUGUGGUGUGUAUGUGUGGUGUCUAUGUGUGGUAUAUGUGCAUGGUGUGCAUAUCGUGUGUAUAUGUGUGUGGUGUGUGUGUAGUGUAUGUGUCUGGUGUGUGUAUGUGUGUGGGGAGUGUUUUGUGUGUGUUUGUAGUGUGUGGGUAUGUGUGGUGUAGUUAUAUGGUGUGUGUGUGUGUCUGUCUGUGUAGAUAGCAAGUAUGUGAGGCUUGUCAAGGUCACUGUGCUCAUGAGAGUCACCAGGUGUCCUUUCUCCAAAGCCACUAUCCCUCACAGGCAUCUGUGCUGUGUGCUGGGUGCAUCUGGAGCAGACUUUGUUCUGGGCCAGUGGCAAUGGGAAGUGGCCCUUGGUUGAUGUUCUCGGAGAAGCUGGGGAGUAAGAAGGAAUCAGGCAGAUUUGAAUGGCUGAGUAUUAAGUUUUAGUGACUUUUUCUGAUGAGUAUAUUGAGCUAAUUUUUCCUCACCUCAGCCACUUGCAAAAAAAAUUUUUCCUGAAUAUGUCAAUUUUUUUUUUUUUUGGCCUGGCUGUAUGGCUCACACCUAUAAUCACAGUACUUUGGGAGGCUGGGGUGUGUGGAUCACCUUAGGUCAGUAGUUUGAGACCAGCCUGGUCAACAUGGCAAAACCGCGUAUCUACUAAAAAUACAAAAAUUAGCUGGACAUGGUGAUGUGCGCCUGUGGUCCCAGCUACUUGGGAGGCUGAGGCAGGAGAAUCACUUGAACCCAAGAGGUGGAAGUUGCAGUGAGCCAAGAUCGAACCAUUGCACUCCAGCCUAGGUGACAGCAAGACUUCAUCUCAAAAAAAUAAAUAAAAUAAAAUCAAAAGUUUAAACUUUUUAAAGUUAGCUUUUAAAAAACAAUAGGAAAUAUAUUUUAAAGGUCUCAAAAUUUUAAAGUUUCCCCUCUGUCAGCUACCACUGUUCAUACUUCCUUGUUCAUCCUUCCAGAGGUACUUUAUUAUGUGUAUAGACAAGAAAACUAAUUAAACAUGUAGAGAACAUUACAUAUGGACUUUGAGUUCGCUACGGUUAUACUCAGAAAAGAAAAAACGGUCCUUAUUUUAGGUGCCAUAUUGUCUGAGAAACAAAAUACAGCAAGAUGUGUUCUUUAAAUAGAUCAAAUGCAGAUAUUUAAGAAACUCUUUUUUCAUUAUGUUGAAGCAGUUUUAAAGCUAGAUAUGAGGAACUUUCUGGAAUGAAGUUAUUUGCCCCGCAGCAUCCAACCGCAAUGAAUGUGCAGAAUUCUCACUGGUAGAACACCUGCUGUUCCCCCAGGCUUUACAAUGGCUUCUCCUUACCUUUUUUUUUUUUUUUGAGACAGACUCUCGCUCUGUCCUCCAUGCUGGAGUGCAAUGGCGCGAUCUCGGCUCACUGCAACUUCCACCUCCCAGGUUCAAGCAAUUCUCCUGCCUUACCCUCCCAAGUAGCUGGGAUUACAAGCAGAUGCCACUACACCUGGCUUAUUUUUGUAUUUUUAGUAGAGACGGGGUUUCACCAAGUUGGCCAGGCUGGUCUUGAACUCCCGACCUCGUGAUUUGCCCACCUAGGCCUCCCAAAAGUGCUGGGAUUACAGGUGUGAGAUACCACUACUGCCCUGGCUUCUCCUGAUUUUAAGGGACCUUUUAGACUUGGCCAGACAAGGUGGCUCACUCCCACAAUUCCAGCACUUUAGCAGGCUGAGGCAGGAGGACUGCCUGUGGCCUGGAGUUCGAGUCCAGCCUGGCCAACAUACUGAGAUCCUCGUCCCUACAAAAAAUUUAAAAAUUAGCUGGGCGUAAUGGUGCAUGCCUGUGGUCCCAGCUACUCAGGAGGCUGGGGAAGGAGGAUUGCUUGAGCCUGAGAAGUCAAAGCUGCAGUGAGCAUGACUGCACCACACCACUGCAGUCCAGACUGGGUGACAGAGUGAGAAUCUGUCUCAAAAAAAAAAAGGCCAGGCUUAAGCUCUUCAUGUGACAUGACUUCCAAGACCUGGCCCUCCACCCUCUCUGUCUCUACCCUCAUUUCUUUUUAUUUGAUGCCUCCUACUUCAUGUACCAGCAACUACUUGGUCCUACACAUAUCAGCAAUUUUCAUCUAUUUUUUUUUAUGGCUUUUUAUGACAUCCUCUCAUAAAGAAUGCCUUUCCUACCAUCUCUGUCUAACUCUUCAUCUUUAUGGCCCACCUUGGAAGUCAUUUCCUCUGGAAGUCUUGUCUGAUCACCACCCUCCCAGAUGUGUUUCAACUCUAGGGUCUCCUUGACCUAAUGCCACUGGCUGCCAGCAUUGAAUUGUGGUCACCUAUUAGCUGAGUAGCUCUUCUACCGAACCUCCUCAGUAUUUCAGCUCCUCAAGCGUGAGAAAAGUGACAUCUGUCUAUGUUCACCACUACUCCUGUGCUGCAUGAAUAACUGUGCACCUGCUUGAUCUGACAAUAUGCGGGGUGCCGGAUGGGUAUGGGAGGACCUGGGGAGGAGCAGGAAUAUGCUGGAGAAUUCCAAGAAGAUGCGUGGAACAAAAGUGUACCCUGUACCUUGGGAUACACUGUUGAGGGAUAAUUCUUGGUAGUAAAGAUUAGAGAAACAGUAGGUAAAAGUCCACAACAGCCAGGCCAACCAAUGAUAUCGGUAAAUAUGAGAGAGUCCCGAGAGAAUUAGCAAGCCUCAUUUUACUCCAGAUAAAAUGUUAAUGGGAUAGAUCCCUUCCUUAGAAAAUCUGGCUCCCACACAGCCAACCUGGGUCCAUGAUGGAGUCGGAUUCUGAUGCCAAGAGAAAGCUGUGGCAGGCGGUGCAUGCGGACGCCCCCACUCAGUUUCUGCCUCACUUGCACCUGGUGUGAGUUUCCUCCACACCUGCCACCCACUCCCACCUCCUGCUAGUACCACUCCCGGGCUACUCACAUUCAUGCACUGAGCGUCUUCUAACUUAAUUUGAUCUAGACUUCUCCCGAAUGUCUGGCUUAGGGAAAAAUCCAAUAGGAGAGGUUUAACAAAGAAACUCCAAACAUCUCUCCAGCUCUCAACAACUGUAAACACUGAGCUAUUUAGAAGGUAUGUGUUCUCGGCCUAAAGGUUACCAGGGCCUUAAAUCUGCGUGUGGCUGGAUCAGUCCCAGUCUUUUUCAAAGUAUGUAUUGUGUUCUCUGUGCAUCGACUUUGAAUUCAGUUUCUAGGGCCAUAAAGGAUGCAUUCACUCAUGCCGACUGAAUUGGUGACUGAGAGUUAUAAACAUUGAAUGACAGGGUAGAAUCAUGUCUUAACAAACGUCACCAGGACAUUCGAGUCUACAAUAAUGCUAUCUUUGGGGGCCGGAGGAAAAUCCACACUGGCAUUUGUCUUUUCAAUAUGGAGAUAAACUCUGGCUGAAGGAGAAAUUCCGCAAAACAGAUACUUCCAUAGGUUCAUAUCCACAGAACAAGAGUUUUAAAAUAAUAUUUUUGGAUAGCCAGAUAAUAUUAAGUAUGCAUAAGGAAUUUGAACGUGAUUUUCAAAAUACUGAAUUAGUGAUGUGGGCCUGUUCGGCUUAUUUAACCUCUUCGGUAAAGGGCUCUAGGUUCUUUUCAGGUCAGUAAUUCAGGUAGGAUCACAGGGGAAGAUUUUAAUUUACAGUGUGUCCCUGCUCUUGAGUACCUAGACUGAUGAGUCUGCAUCAUAGGAUGCUGAGCUCCUGGAAGAGAAACCUUAGGCAGGUUAUAAAGUAUUUAUACGAUAAGCUAUGCUGACGCUAUGGCCAUUUGUAGAAUCAUUUGUGAUGUUUCCAGCCACUGGCUCCACUGUACUGUUUGGGAAGGAUCAUUUCCUUCAUUGGGGAAUCUGUACCCUAACAUUUCUGUCCCCUACCCCUAAAAAGGACAUAAUUGGGAAAUGCUACUAUUAAUUACCUCUUAAUUCCUAAUAUCUAGAACAACAUUUUAUAAAAUAAGAAAAAUUGGAUUAAAGUACAUAUUAGUGUAAAGUAUAUUUAAAGUGAAAAUUCAAUUAGGUAUAAGUAUAAUCAUGACUGGUAAGCACCCACUAAGCUGAAUUAACAUGAAUUUAAUUCUGGCACAAAGGAUUAUUAACAUCCUUUCCACUGCUUCAGUGCUGGCAAGUUCAUUUUUCCAACUCAUUCAACUUUCUCUCAUUCCUUACCAAUUGUAUAAGAUGACUUUUUCUAGAAACAGCAGUUGUUUUUGUUUUUGUUUCAUUUUGUUUUGAGAUAGGGUCUCCCUCUGUCACCCAGGCUGGAGUGCAAUGGCAGUAAUUCUCUCUGGCACCCAGGCUGGAGUGCAAUGGCACUCACUGCAGCCUCAUCCUUCUGGGCUCAAGUGGUCCUCCUGCCUCAGGCUGCCAAGUAGCAAGGACUACAGGCAUGCACUACUAUACCUGGCUCAUUUUUAAAUUUUUUGUAGGCUGGGCGAAGUGGCUCACUCCUGUAAUCCCAGCACUUUGGGAGGCUGAGGCAGGCGGAUCACGAGGUCAAGAGAUCGAGACCAUCCUGGCCAACAUGGUGAAACCCCCAUUUCUACUAAAAACACAAAAAAAUUAGCCGGGCACAGUGGUAGGCUCCUGUAGUCCCAACUACUCAGGAGGCUGAGGCAGUAGAAUUGCUUGAACCCGGGAGGCAGAGGUGCAGUGAGCCAAGAUCUCACCAUUGCACUCCAGACUGGUGACAGAGUGACACUUUGUCUCAAAAGAAAAAAAAAAAUUGUAGAGAUGGGAUCUCAAUAUGUUGCCCAGGCUAGUAUCCAACUCUGGGGCUAAAUUGAUUCUCCCCUCAGCCUUCCACAAGUGCUGAGAUUACAGGUGUGAGCCAUCGCACCUAGACACUUUGUUUUAAACAAAGUAUUGCAUUUCAAUGGCUCUUAAAAACAGUAAAAUAUUCUAUGUGUAUCAAAGCUAUAUAUAAUUAAUAUAUGUAUAUGUCAAUGUACAUAGUACAAUGUAACAGUACAUAUACAUAUGUCAAUAUAUAUGCAACAUCUAAAUUAUCUCUCCAAAAUAUUUCUACCCUAUUUCUCUUUACACAAUACAAAAACAUCUCCUUCCAUCCUUCUUUGGUUGAGUUCAUAUGAUAUUGGGAAAGCGACUUUGGAGACAGACAAACAUAGUAUAAGUCUGUCUUCCCAAUAUUUGCUAACUGGUGACACUGCUGUUAAUUUAUGCUGAGCCUUAGUUUACUCAUCUGUGAUGAUGGCGAUAAUAGUGCUUAGUUCCUAGAGAAGUUAUCAGUAUUAAAUAGGCUAGUACAUAUAGUACAGGGAUCCUAGACUUGACCAUGCGUCAGAAUCUUCUGCAGGGCGUGUUAAAGCACAGAUUUUUUUUUUUUUUUGAGACGGAGUUUCGCUGUUGUUACCCAGACUGGAGUGCAAUGGCACGAUCUCGGCUCACCGCAACCUCUGCCUCCUGGGUUCAAGCAAAUCUCCUGCCUCAGCCUCCCGAGUAGCUGGGACUACAGGCGCGCACCAUCAUGCCCAGCUAAUUUUUGUAUUUUUAGUAGAGACGGGGUUUCACCUUGUUGACCAGGAUGGUCUCAAUUUCUUGACCUCGUGAUCCACCUGCCUCGGCCUCCCAAAGUGCUGGGAUUAUAGGUGUGAGCCACCACUCCAGGCCUAAAGCACGGAUUUUUGAGCCCUACCCUGAAGUUUCUGAUUCAGCAGGUCUGGAGCAGUCCCCAGAUUCUGUAUUUCUAACAACUUCCUGGGUUAUACUGAGGCUUCUCAUCUGGGGGCUACACUUUGAGAACUGCUGACACGGACCGUCCUUUACAGAGGCUGGCACAUGUAUAGCUUUGCAGCAAAUGCCGAUUUUGUUCACUUCCAACCACGAGUAAAAAUAAAGACAAGUUGAUAUAAGCAACAGCUUAAUGGUGUUGAUCACAUAUGGCAGACUUCAUGAAAGUGGUAUGCAAAUGACUGAUGUUUGGGAAGGACUCAUAUUGGGGAACUAUUAUGGGCCUUGGAGUGAGACAAACCCAAUGAUGAAUUUUAGCUUUAUGUCCGUUCGUUUUAUGACCUUGUGUACCCUAAACCUAAAACUCUUCAUUUUGUAGUCAUGAUAAUGAUGGCUACUUAGUAAGGCUGUUUUGAGAAUUAAAUUUUUAAAAUGGGGUAAAAUGACAUGUUAAGUAUUUAUCCACUUACUAAUAUGAACAUAUAUUAAGAAAAACCUAAAUGUGGUCUAGUAUUCCUAUACUAACAAGAGCCUCAAGGUGUUGAAUAAAAACAGUUUAAAUCUCAGUAGAGAAGGAUGUCCAGGCCAUGACUCACCAACCAUAUGAAAACAUAUAGAUAUACCCAAAGAUGGAUAGGAGGAAAUGUGGGAAACUUUAAGCAAAUUGACAUGUGCAGAUGGAGAUCUGUUUUUGUUUGUUUGUUUGUUUGCUUGUUCGUUUCUGAGACAGGGUCUCUGCUCUGUUUCCCAGGCUGGAGUGCCAGUGGUACCAUCACAGCUCACUGUAGCCUCAACUUCCCAGGCUCACGUGAUCCUCCCACCUCAGCCUCCCUAGUAGCUGGAACUAUAAUCAUCUCUCUCCAUGCCCCAUUAAUUUUAAAUUUUUUGUAGAGAUGGGGUUUCACUGUGUUGCCCAGACUGGGAUAUCUGUUCUUGAUCAUUUUGAUUUCCAUUAGUGUUAUUGUCAUAAGUUUUAUGACCACCAAAACGCUUCACUUACCCCUUAUGUAACACUGUGAAGUACAUAUUAUCCAUUAGAAGAGCGUUUCCUUAAAAACAUGGGGGAUGUCAAUAGUAUCUAUUUUUGAGAUCAGUCGUAUCACCAGAAAGGAGCAGGAAUUGGGUUAAAUUGGUGGCUUUAUUUUCUUAAGCUACACCGUGUUCCAGACGGGACUUAAGAUGUCUGUUUAGAACAUAAUACAAUUUCUUGGAAAUCAACAAAGCCAAGACUUGGAAAAAAAUGAAAGCCUUUUCACAAUUAUUCUAUACAGGUUUUGGCUGGCCUUGCAUGGGAGUAAUUUUUAAACUCUAAUAGGAAAACUUAUCAACACACACAACAGUGCAGAGAAUAGUACUGUAAUCCUCAUGCGCUCAUCAGCUGGUUUCAACAAUCGUCAACUUGUUAUGCAAACUCAAAGCAAAAAAACUUAACAUUUAUGACAAAUCUCAGAAUCGACUCUAUAAUUCUCAGAAAUGAGUAGCUUCCUCUUUUCAAAGAAAAUGCAAAAUUCUGAUAUUCCAGACUGAGGCUUUUUCCUCAUCCCAUAAUAACAGUUCACUGAAAAGUGAAAAUAUUUUCAUCCAACUUCAGCUUUUAGGAUAUACUACCUGAACCAGACUGAAUUGUCUUUUUCUUUGUUUUUCAGCUACAAAGUUGAAUCUACAAGCACAAGCUCUUAGACAUUCAAAGUAAGAGGCAGAACGUGGCUUGUUAAGAUUUCCAUUCUCUUGGCCUUCCUUUUCCUGGAGGAAAAAUGGAAGGAGUAUGAUAUUAAGAGUAGGAAAUUGGCUAGUGGGGCACACUGUUUCCUGUGUACCCUCUAGCCAUUAAGGGUUCCUUGUUUUCGUCUCUUCUCCAGACUGAAUAUUCCACUUCCUCUAUUAAAAAAAAAAAAAAGACAAUGAGUCCAAAGUAUGUGUGACUAUAGAAUUGAUAAGAAGAUAUUUUGCCUUCAGCCAAAUCUGAAUGUAUUUUCCAUUACUAUGUAUUCUCACAGAGGCUUCUUUAUGAGAGUCAAUAUUCUGGUGAUUUUUCACAUCGGUGAUUUAAUUUGAGGUACCCAGUUAUUAAGCCUUGUUACUUUGCAUGGGGACUUUGACCUUGCAGGGUGAUGUGGAUGAGAGAACACGAACUUUGGAAUAGGACAGAUCUUUUGACUCUUGGCCUUGCCAUUUAACAGCUUGUCAAUCACUGAACAAGUUGUUUAACCAACCUGAGCCUCAGUUAAUUUUGGUUUUAGGACAUUAAAGAAAGUUUUCAAGGUGUUUGAGAAUUUAUUAGAAAGUAGGAACUGCCUUUUUUUUUUUUUUUGAGACACAGUCUUACUCUGUUACCCAGGCUGGAAUGCAGUGGCAUGAUCUCGGCUCACUGCAACCUCUGCCUCCUGGGCUCAAGCAAUUCUUGUCCCUCAGCCUUCCAAGUAGCUGGGACUACAGGUGUAGUGCUACCAUGCCUGGCUAAUUUUUAUAUUUUUAGGCGCGACAGGGUUUUGCUGUGUUGCCCAGGCUGGUUUUGAACUCCUGAGCUCAGGCAAUCCUCUUGCCUCAGCCUCCCAAAGUGCUGGGAUGAUAGGUGUGAUCCAUCACACCUGGCCAGGAAUUGUCUUUUUUUUUUUUGAGACAGUCUUGCUUUGUCACCCAGGCUGGAGUUUAGUGGCGCAAUCUCAGCUCACUGCAACCUCCGCCUCCUGUGUUCAAGCAAUUCUCCUGCCUCAACCUCCCAAGUAGCUGGAACUACAGGCACGUGCCACCACACCUGGCUAAUUUUUUCUAUUUUUAGUAGAGAUGGGGUUCGCUGUCUUAGCCAGGCUUGUGUCGAACUCCUGACCUCGUGAUCUGCCCGCCUCGGCUUCCCAAAGUGUUGGGAUUACAGGCAAGAGCCAUCGUGCCUGGCCCAGGUAUUGUCUUAACUCAACUUCCACCCCAUAAAAUAUAUCUGGAAUUGGUCUGGAGACAGUCUCACAGCAAUGGCUAUAACUUACUAACAUUUCUUUUCAAAGAUGUUUAUAAAAGGACCAGAAGAAUCUCUGGGUGGCUCCAAGGAUUAUGAGGGGUUUUUCUUGUUAUAGUUUUGAUUUUUUGUUAGAGAUGGGGUCUCACUGUGUCGUCCAGGCUGGUCUUGAACUCCUGGGCUCAAGCAAUCCUCCCACCUUGGCCUCCCAAAUUUCUGGGAUUAUAGGUGUGAGCCACCACACCGGCCAGGAUAUGAGUAUGGAUGACCCCAGAAGACACUAAGAAUUGGAACAGUAGCUCACGAACUUUGACUUUUUAAACACUUCACACUGCACAGCUAAGAAUGGUAGAAUACUGGCUUCCAUCUUCUGCCUGGUGUGGGGUGAGUGGUCCCCGAUGGGCCGGGAUACCGCAUCCGCAGGAAGAGGCGCAGGGUGCAGGCUUUAAAACAUAUAACAUAAAAAUGGCUUCCAAAAGAGCUCUGGUCAUCCUGGCUAAAGGAACAGAGGAAAUGGAGAUGAUCAUCCCUGUAGAUGUCACGAGGCGAGCUGGGAUUGAGGUCACCGUUGCAGGUCUGGCUGGAAAAGAUCCAGUACAAUGUAGCUGUGAUGUUGUCACUUGUGCUGAUGCCAGUAUUGAAGAUGGAAAAAAAGAGGGACCCUAGGCCUGGAUGACCUGGUGGUUCUACCAGGAGGUAAUCUGGGUGCGCAGAGUUUAUCUGAGUCUCCUGUGGUGAAGGAGAUACUGAACAAGCAGGAAAACUGGAAGCGCCUUAGAGCCGCCAUCUGCGUAGGUCCCACUGCUCUGUUGGCUCAAGAAAUAGGUUUUGGAAGUAAAGUUACAACAUACUUGCUUGCUAAAGACAAAAUGAUGAAUUGGGGUCAUUACACCUACUCUGAGAAUUGAGUGGAAAAGGAUGGCCUGAUUCUUACAGCCGGGGGCCUGGGACCAGCUUCAAGUUUGCACUUGCAAUUGUUGAAGCCCUGAGCGGUAGGGAGGUGGCGGCUCGGGUGAAGGCUCCACUUGUUCUUAAAGACUAGAGAGGCAAAAUAUGAUGAUCUCUUAGAGAAACAGUCCAUUAGGAAUUCAUUAUCACUGUGAAUGUGUUCAGAAGCUGCCGUUAUUAAGGCGUUUGCAGUAGAGAGAUUUCUCUCUUUUUUUGUUUUUUUUUGUUUUUUUGAGAUGAAGUUUUGCUCUGCCGUCCAGGCUGGAGUGCAGUGGCGUGAUUGCAGCUCAGUGUAACCUCCAUCUCCCGGAUUCAAGCGAUUCUCCUGCCUCAGCCUUCAGAGUAGCUGGGACUAAAGGCACAUGCCACCACGCCCAGCUAAUUUUUGUAUUUUUAGGUUUCACCAUGUUGGCCAGGAUGGUCUCUAUCUCUUGACCUCCUGAUCCGUCAGCCUCAGCCUCUCAAAGUGCUGGGAUUACAGGCAUGAGCCACGGCACCGGGGCAGAGAUUUCUCAACCUACAGAUUGUGUCUAUGCAUUUCUAAGCCUUGUUUGCAGAAUAAACAGGGCAUUUAGCAAACUGCUGGAAAAAAAAGAGCAGUAGAAUACUAAGCAAAUGGACAAUAAGGAUUACGAGCCAUUUGUGAAUGUUUUCUUUUUCUUUUUUAAGUGCUUUCAAGUGCUGUGUAAGAGAGGCUAGUGACCUAGAUACCCGCACUACACAAAUCUGUUCUAAGUUCUAGCCUUUGUCUCUAAAUGGCUGUUUGACCUUGGGCAUGUUACUUAACCUCUCUGGGCCUCGGUUUCCUCAUCUAUAAAAUGAAGAAAUUGGGCUAGGUGGUCUCAGAAGAGAUUCCUGUAUUUUGCUUUAACUCUGGAACAUGUCGUGAAAAAAACAAAAGUAUUAGAGGCUGACAGACUUAGGUUUUAUUUACCUGCUGUCAGCCUAAGUUACGAUAGGGUAAUUGCUGUCAGAUCUUGAGCAAUUAACCUAUCUUAACCUGGGCUUCAGAUUACUCCUCUGUAAAUGGAGGACGGUACCAGUUUCCUAAGACUGUUGUGAGAAUUACAGACAAUGGGGGUGUAUCUCCCGGCUCAGCCAUUGUUAGUUCUGUUAUCACCUCUAUCCCUCCCCCUUCUCCCUCUCUAGUAUAUUAAUGUCACGACAUUCCUGCUUAUAUUACACUGUGUUCUGUAGAAUUCAUGAAACAAUGGCCUCUGGGCAUCGAAUUUCUCUCUUUGUCAUGGUCACCGUGUCCACAUCCGGAUGCCAGCCACCACCACUGCCACGAUUUAGAUCUCAGGCCAGCCACCCUAGGCUGUGUGUGUGGGUGAUUUCUGUGCUGUAAAAUUCUGACCAACAGAGGAAACUGAGUAGCAAGUACUUACAUAAUAUCUUCACCUCUCUGGUUGUUCUUAAUAUAGCACAUUUCCCCUUGUUUCCAAGAGGUAUUUUCUUGAUGUGCACAAGGACAGGGAGCUGGACAAGGCUAGUGUCAUAUAUUCAGUGUUGGGGAGGGAGGGGACCCUCAGGAGCCAGACCAUUUGGGUUCAAAUCCAGCUUUGCAGAUUCCUAGUGUGUGUGACAUGAAGCUAAUUAUGUUAUCUCUCUGAUUCUCAGUUUCUGUAUUUGGAGAAAUGUAGAGAAAUAAACCCAGUUACUGUAAACAGCGAUACUAACAUUACCAUUGUGUAAAUGAAAUGUAUGAAUACAUAUCAAAUGCCAGGAAUGGUGCAUGGUGCCUAGUAAGUGUAAAUAACUGUUAGUUGUAUUUAUUCCACCAAUUGCCCUUGUUAAGGGGAAAAUUAACAAUGAACAAUUUCUCCUUGUUAAGGGGCUAGGAAAAAAUGCAAUCCCCCAAAAUGCUACUACAAAGGAUCUGGACAAUUUUCUCAAACUCAGACAAAAGCAGCUUGAAUUCCCUCUGUCUGUCAGCAACCCAUACUACCAGGGCUCAUCCUGCAAGAGGAAUGAGAGGAGCAGAGUAGCUAAGAAUCUCGCAUUAGUAAGUGUGACCAAUUACACUGUGUGCACUAUUCAUAGGCGCGUCAGUUCAUGUGCUGCAAUGCUGGGAAACACAGGUAGCCAGGAAAAUCUUAGGCCAGUGUUGACUGACUCUCAAAAAGAGAACACCUGGCUGGGUGCUGUGGCUCACCCCUGUAAUCCCAGCACUUUGGGAGGCCGAGGCAGGUAGACCACCUGAGGUUGGGAGUUUGGGAGCAGCCUGACCAACAUGGAGAAAUCCCAUCUCUACUAAAAAUACAAAAUUAGCCAGUUGCAGUGGGGCAUGCCUGUAACCCUGGCUACUUGGGAGGCUGAGGCAGGAGAGGUUUCGGUGAGCCAAGAUUGUGCCAUUGCACUCCAGCCCGGGCAAUAAGAGCAAAACUCCAUCUCAGAAAAAAAGAACACUUGCAAUUCCCAAAUAAUCUGACUCUUCUCUCUUCCUGCCUCAGUAAAAUAUGUGGUACUGUUUCCACCAGAAUGAGGGGGCUCCUGAACCAGACUGAAACAGGAAGUUCCAGGGAGGGAAGCUUGCCCAUCUCCCUAUCAGCUCCCAUCCACUGUAUCCCAGUAGAGGCAAGAGCAGGAGAGUGUGUGCCAUAUGAAUUAGACAUGAGCCCAUGUACCUUCAGAGUCUGCCAGUGGUCCCCAGGGAAUUGAGAGCUAUAGUAGAAUGAAGAGGGUAGCUUCCCCUCUCUCCAAGGGUAGAGGGCUCACAUCAUGGCUUCUUAUAGCUUACAAUCUUGGACAAAUCUUUUCCGUUCUCCACUUGGUUUUCUCAGCCAAGGAAUGAUAAUAACUGCUAAUCUCAUGGUGGCAAGGGUGGGGAAGGCACAUGCUGUGAGCCAUGAAUUACUAACUCUUUAAUAACAUGACUGAUAGUUUCACUCCUGGUGCAUGGAAAGAGAAAGGUUGUGGUGAUGAAGUUUUUCUGAGUGGAAGAUAUGAAAGAAGUAGAAACUCAAGCUUCAUUUUGUGAAGUGGAAUGGGUAAUUGUGUGCUAGGGUUGGAAGGGAUACUCUCAUCGUUUAAAAUUAGAGAAACCAAGUGCAGGGCGACGAAAUGAUUUGUUCAUGUUGCAUGACUUAGCAGUUGAACUUGGCUAUAAAGAUGGGACUUUGGCCAGGUGCACAGGUUCACGCCUGUAAUUCCAGCACUUUGGGAGGCCGAGGCAGGUGGAUCGCAAGGUCAGGAGUUCAAGACCAGCCUGGCCAAUAUGGUAAAACCCUGCUUCUACUAAAAAUACAAAAAUUAGCUGAGCAUGGUGGCGGGCACCUGUAGUCCCAGCUACUCAGGAUGCUGAGGCAGGAGAAUUGCCUGAACUUGGGAGGCAGAGAAUACAGUGAGCUGAGAUCACACCACUGAUCUCCAGUUUGGGUAACAGAGCAAGACUCCAUCUCAAAAAAAAUAAAAUAAAAUAAAAAGAUGGGACUUUUAAGUCCUUCAAGGCAGUAGUCUUUAUAUAUUUAGUGCUUCUUAUGAUUUAUUUCUGAAAUGUCACAGAUAUCUGGGCAAAGGGGCAGUAUGAAUAUUUUGGUAUCUAUACUAAUAUACUGAAAUAUGAGUUUUAAUGACAGGACUCUUAAAAUGUGUUCAGAAUUUAUGGAAGAAGAUAGAGAAUAUUAAUAUUACUCAUAUAAAAGUCUUAUAGGGUACUAUCUAAUACAGCUUUAAAAAUGUAUACACUUACCAUGAAGGAGAUCCAUUCUGUUUUACAUUGUUGUUGACUUUGAAGCAGCUUUUUUUUUUUUUUUUUUUGAGAUAGAUUCUCACUCAGUUGCCAGGCUGGAGUGCAGUGGUACAAUCUCAGCUCACCGCAACCUCCACCUCCUGGGCUUGAGCUGUCCUCCUGCCUCAGCCUCCCGAGUAGUUGGAACCACAGGCGUGCACCACCAUGCCCAGCCAAUUUUUGUAUUUUUAGUAGAGAUGGGUUUCACCAUGUUGGCCAGGAUGGUCUUGAUUCUUGACCUCAAUCUGCCUGCCUCAGCCUCCCAGAGUGUUGGGAUUACAGGCAUGAGCCACUGUGCACGGCCUGUAUGUUUUGAUUUGUAUACAUACAGCUUAUUCUCUUGAGUGUGCAGUUCCAUGUGUUUUGACAGUGGCAUAGAGUCACACAUUCACCACCGCUAUCAAGAACAAUUCCAUCAGUCCCAACAUUCCCUCAUGCUGCUGCUGGUAGUCUGCCCUAACCCCAGCAUCCCCUGGCCAAAUCCUGACCUGUUCUCCAUCCCUGUUGUUGCCUUUUCCAGAACAACAUACUCUAUCUUUAUCAUAGAGUAUGUAUCCAUUGGGGGCUAAAAAAGCAGCUGCUUAUUCUUUUUUUCUAUUAAAUGAAUGCCUUUUGUAUGUGACAAGGUGAUCAUGAGAGUCUCUCAUAGAUCCUCUGGCAGUUUUAUUUUUAUUUAUUGAUUUGUGAGACAGAAUCUCACUCUGUUAUCCAGGCUGGAGUACAGUGGAACAAUCUUGGCUUAUUGCAGCCUCCACCUCCUGGGCUCAAGCAGUCCUCCCAGCUCAGCCUCCUCAGUACCUGGGUCUACAGGUGCAUGCCACCACACCCAGUGAAAUUUCUGUAGAAAAGGGGGGGUUUUGUCAUGUUGCCCAGGCUGGUCUCGAACUACUGGACUCAAGCGAUUCACCCACCUUGGCCUUCUGAGGUGCUGGGAUUACGGGUGUGAGUCACUGUGCCCAGCCCUCUGGUAGUUUUAAUAUCUGUUGAGUAUUGGUUUCUUUUACCCUGCUUUUCUCUGUCCAUGUUAUUUGUUUUCUCCAUAAAUAACAGAAGCAGUGGGCCUGUUAUUUUUUUUUUAAGUAGGGCUAUUUUUAGUAAUAGUACUCCUUUGGAGUAAUAAACCAAAAGUAAGCACAGGAUUUAAUUAUGUAAUCAAACCUGUGCUUUUAUUACCUUUGAUUUUUCUGUUUUUUUUUCUUUUGUUUGAGACGGAGUUUCGCUUUUUUGUUACCCAGCCUGGAGCGCAAUGGCACGAUCUCGGCUCACCAAAACCUCCGCCUCCUGGGUUCAGGCAAU